rnacentral:rRNA from 1 species
GGGUUGUGAGGUUAAGCGACUAAGCGUACACGGUGGAUGCCCUGGCAGUCAGAGGCGAUGAAGGACGUGCUAAUCUGCGAUAAGCGUCGGUAAGGUGAUAUGAACCGUUAUAACCGGCGAUUUCCGAAUGGGGAAACCCAGUGUGAUUCGUCACACUAUCAUUAACUGAAUCCAUAGGUUAAUGAGGCGAACCGGGGGAACUGAAACAUCUAAGUACCCCGAGGAAAAGAAAUCAACCGAGAUUCCCCCAGUAGCGGCGAGCGAACGGGGAGCAGCCCAGAGCCUGAAUCAGUGUGUGUGUUAGUGGAAGCGUCUGGAAAGGCGCGCGAUACAGGGUGACAGCCCCGUACACAAAAAUGCACAUACUGUGAGCUCGAUGAGUAGGGCGGGACACGUGGUAUCCUGUCUGAAUAUGGGGGGACCAUCCUCCAAGGCUAAAUACUCCUGACUGACCGAUAGUGAACCAGUACCGUGAGGGAAAGGCGAAAAGAACCCCGGCGAGGGGAGUGAAAAAGAACCUGAAACCGUGUACGUACAAGCAGUGGGAGCCUCUUUUAUGGGGUGACUGCGUACCUUUUGUAUAAUGGGUCAGCGACUUAUAUUCUGUAGCAAGGUUAACCGAAUAGGGGAGCCGAAGGGAAACCGAGUCUUAACCGGGCGUUAAGUUGCAGGGUAUAGACCCGAAACCCGGUGAUCUAGCCAUGGGCAGGUUGAAGGUUGGGUAACACUAACUGGAGGACCGAACCGACUAAUGUUGAAAAAUUAGCGGAUGACUUGUGGCUGGGGGUGAAAGGCCAAUCAAACCGGGAGAUAGCUGGUUCUCCCCGAAAGCUAUUUAGGUAGCGCCUCGUGAAUUCAUCUCCGGGGGUAGAGCACUGUUUCGGCAAGGGGGUCAUCCCGACUUACCAACCCGAUGCAAACUGCGAAUACCGGAGAAUGUUAUCACGGGAGACACACGGCGGGUGCUAACGUCCGUCGUGAAGAGGGAAACAACCCAGACCGCCAGCUAAGGUCCCAAAGUCAUGGUUAAGUGGGAAACGAUGUGGGAAGGCCCAGACAGCCAGGAUGUUGGCUUAGAAGCAGCCAUCAUUUAAAGAAAGCGUAAUAGCUCACUGGUCGAGUCGGCCUGCGCGGAAGAUGUAACGGGGCUAAACCAUGCACCGAAGCUGCGGCAGCGACACUGUGUGUUGUUGGGUAGGGGAGCGUUCUGUAAGCCUGUGAAGGUGUACUGUGAGGUAUGCUGGAGGUAUCAGAAGUGCGAAUGCUGACAUAAGUAACGAUAAAGCGGGUGAAAAGCCCGCUCGCCGGAAGACCAAGGGUUCCUGUCCAACGUUAAUCGGGGCAGGGUGAGUCGACCCCUAAGGCGAGGCCGAAAGGCGUAGUCGAUGGGAAACAGGUUAAUAUUCCUGUACUUGGUGUUACUGCGAAGGGGGGACGGAGAAGGCUAUGUUGGCCGGGCGACGGUUGUCCCGGUUUAAGCGUGUAGGCUGGUUUUCCGGUGCAAAUCCGGAAAAUCAAGGCUGAGGCGUGAUGACGAGGCACUACGGUGCUGAAGCAACAAAUGCCCUGCUUCCGGUGAAAAGCCUCUAAGCAUCAGGUAACAUCAAAUCGUACCCCAAACCGACACAGGUGGUCAGGUAGAGAAUACCAAGGCGCUUGAGAGAACUCGGGUGAAGGAACUAGGCAAAAUGGUGCCGUAACUUCGGGAGAAGGCACGCUGAUAUGUAGGUGAAGUCCCUCGCGGAUGGAGCUGAAAUCAGUCGAAGAUACCAGCUGGCUGCAACUGUUUAUUAAAAACACAGCACUGUGCAAACACGAAAGUGGACGUAUACGGUGUGACGCCUGCCCGGUGCCGGAAGGUUAAUUGAUGGGGUCAGCGCAAGCGAAGCUCUUGAUCGAAGCCCCGGUAAACGGCGGCCGUAACUAUAACGGUCCUAAGGUAGCGAAAUUCCUUGUCGGGUAAGUUCCGACCUGCACGAAUGGCGUAAUGAUGGCCAGGCUGUCUCCACCCGAGACUCAGUGAAAUUGAACUCGCUGUGAAGAUGCAGUGUACCCGCGGCAAGACGGAAAGACCCCGUGAACCUUUACUAUAGCUUGACACUGAACAUUGAGCCUUGAUGUGUAGGAUAGGUGGGAGGCUUUGAAGUGUGGACGCCAGUCUGCAUGGAGCCGACCUUGAAAUACCACCCUUUAAUGUUUGAUGUUCUAACGUGGACCCGUGAUCCGGGUUGCGGACAGUGUCUGGUGGGUAGUUUGACUGGGGCGGUCUCCUCCUAAAGAGUAACGGAGGAGCACGAAGGUUGGCUAAUCCUGGUCGGACAUCAGGAGGUUAGUGCAAUGGCAUAAGCCAGCUUGACUGCGAGCGUGACGGCGCGAGCAGGUGCGAAAGCAGGUCAUAGUGAUCCGGUGGUUCUGAAUGGAAGGGCCAUCGCUCAACGGAUAAAAGGUACUCCGGGGAUAACAGGCUGAUACCGCCCAAGAGUUCAUAUCGACGGCGGUGUUUGGCACCUCGAUGUCGGCUCAUCACAUCCUGGGGCUGAAGUAGGUCCCAAGGGUAUGGCUGUUCGCCAUUUAAAGUGGUACGCGAGCUGGGUUUAGAACGUCGUGAGACAGUUCGGUCCCUAUCUGCCGUGGGCGCUGGAGAACUGAGGGGGGCUGCUCCUAGUACGAGAGGACCGGAGUGGACGCAUCACUGGUGUUCGGGUUGUCAUGCCAAUGGCACUGCCCGGUAGCUAAAUGCGGAAGAGAUAAGUGCUGAAAGCAUCUAAGCACGAAACUUGCCCCGAGAUGAGUUCUCCCUGACCCUUUAAGGGUCCUGAAGGAACGUUGAAGACGACGACGUUGAUAGGCCGGGUGUGUAAGCGCAGCGAUGCGUUGAGCUAACCGGUACUAAUGAACCGUGAGGCUUAACCUUACAACGCCGAAGGUGUUU